GCUGGGUAUGGUGGUGCAUGCCUGUAAUCCCAGAUACUUGGGAGGCUGAGGCAGGAGAAUAUUUAGUACCCAGGAGUUGGAGGUUGCAGUGAGCCAAGAUCAUGCCACUGUACUCCAGCCUGGGUGACAGAGUGAGACUCUGUCUCAA
ensembl:misc_RNA Metazoa_SRP Metazoan signal recognition particle RNA